rnacentral:rRNA from 1 species
UCUAAGUACCCCGAGGAAAAGAAAUCAACCGAGAUUCCCCCAGUAGCGGCGAGCGAACGGGGAGGAGCCCAGAGCCUGAAUCAGUGUGUGUGUUAGUGGAAGCGUCUGGAAAGGCGUGCGAUACAGGGUGACAGCCCCGUACACAAAAAUGCACAUACUGUGAGCUCGAUGAGUAGGGCGGGACACGUGGUAUCCUGUCUGAAUAUGGGGGGACCAUCCUCCAAGGCUAAAUACUCCUGACUGACCGAUAGUGAACCAGUACCGUGAGGGAAAGGCGAAAAGAACCCCGGCGAGGGGAGUGAAAAAGAACCUGAAACCGUGUACGUACAAGCAGUGGGAGCCUCUUUAUGGGGUGACUGCGUACCUUUUGUAUAAUGGGUCAGCGACUUAUAUUCUGUAGCAAGGUUAACCGAAUAGGGGAGCCGAAGGGAAACCGAGUCUUAACUGGGCGUUAAGUUGCAGGGUAUAGACCCGAAACCCGGUGAUCUAGCCAUGGGCAGGUUGAAGGUUGGGUAACACUAACUGGAGGACCGAACCGACUAAUGUUGAAAAAUUAGCGGAUGACUUGUGGCUGGGGGUGAAAGGCCAAUCAAACCGGGAGAUAGCUGGUUCUCCCCGAAAGCUAUUUAGGUAGCGCCUCGUGAAUUCAUCUCCGGGGGUAGAGCACUGUUUCGGCAAGGGGGUCAUCCCGACUUACCAACCCGAUGCAAACUGCGAAUACCGGAGAAUGUUAUCACGGGAGACACACGGCGGGUGCUAACGUCCGUCGUGAAGAGGGAAACAACCCAGACCGCCAGCUAAGGUCCCAAAGUCAUGGUUAAGUGGGAAACGAUGUGGGAAGGCCCAGACAGCCAGGAUGUUGGCUUAGAAGCAGCCAUCAUUUAAAGAAAGCGUAAUAGCUCACUGGUCGAGUCGGCCUGCGCGGAAGAUGUAACGGGGCUAAACCAUG